UCGUGACCUCUUCUCCCGAAACCGCCGACCCAGCGCCGCGACGGCACUUCGCACCCGAGCUCACGGCGACGCGGAGUUCAGCGAAGCCUCGCCGAAGCCUCCGGUCCUCUACCCCGACCCUCUACCCCUUCCUCUCUUCGGAUUUGCUGCCUCGUGCGAGGACCGUCGGGCAGGAGGAGCCAAGCUUAAGAUCGGAGACGCUGAGGUCGAAUCGCCGGAACCCUGAGCUCGAUCUUAGCUGAGGGUGCAUUCCAAACAGUGGUCACGACGUUCCCUAGCCCUAACGCCAAGCUGAUUUCAUUGGUUUUCGCCUCGUCGCUGGUGGUGGAAGCUGUCAAGGAGGUAUUGAAGUGGCUUGCGGUGAGGAGAUCGGCCACAACCUCCAACGGUGAUUCUUCAUCCGGGAAGCAGAGGGGGGCUCACGGUGAAGGUUCAGCCAAAACCUCCAGUAGCCAGUUAUCACUGGCGAGUCUCCUCAGCAAGGUUGUCUGGCCGUAAAACAA